rnacentral:rRNA from 1 species
AUUGAACGCUGGCGGCAUGCCUUACACAUGCAAGUCGAACGGCAGCGGGCCUUCGGGUGCCGGCGAGUGGCGAACGGGUGAGUAAUGCAUCGGAACGUGCCAUUGAGUGGGGGAUAACGUAGCGAAAGUUGCGCUAAUACCGCAUAUUCUGUGAGCAGGAAAGCAGGGGACCGCAAGGCCUUGCGCUCUUUGAGCGGCCGAUGUCAGAUUAGCUAGUUGGUGAGGUAAAGGCUUACCAAGGCGACGAUCUGUAGCGGGUCUGAGAGGAUGAUCCGCCACACUGGAACUGAGACACGGUCCAGACUCCUACGGGAGGCAGCAGUGGGGAAUUUUGGACAAUGGGGGCAACCCUGAUCCAGCCAUGCCGCGUGAGUGAAGAAGGCCUU